CGUGACAACUCCCGCUCAGCACCGCGACAUACAGCACCAAUAAUGCGCGUCGUUAUCCUCUGCCUUCUGGUGGCCUACGCCGCCGCCCAGAACUCUUACCAGCCAGCGCCCACACCCAAAACUUGCUCAAAGACCUGCCCUGAAAACAGCGAGUGCGAAAUCCAGUCGUGCGAGGUGUGCGUGCCAAGUAAGCAGACCCCACCCCUGGCACACCCCUCCAGAGUCCGGACCAAGCAAACAUACCCCACCCCUGGCCAAGCUCUCUAGAUUCCCUGCCUAGUAAGCAGACCCACC